GUGGAGCUCUGUCUGAAUGAAGAUUCAUGGUUGGCUGAUGCAUGGAGCACAGGCUGGAACAGGAGCUGGCAAAUAUGGCAAGCUUUUGAUACAUCCUUCAAAUGGUCCAGCUUUCUCUUAAAACAAUUACUCUGGGAUCAGCAUUCUUUUGCUACCAGCUUCCCAUUCCUUCUGAGAGGCAGACAGAUAUACACGGCUGCCUGAGAGUCUCACUCUGGUGACGGAAGAGGGUUUUUCUUUGUCCAUUUAUUUAACCGACUGCUAGGUUGCCUCAAGCACAGUGGCAACUCUGCACAUCUUACAAAAUAAAAGCAACUAAAUUCAACAACAAAGGAAGAAGAAAAAGUAAAGUCUAUUGGAGUUGGGCAGCCAAUAUAUUUAAAUAAUGAUAUUUUUUAAAAAGCAAAUCAGAACAAAUAACCACUAUGUUGGGAACCACUAGUUACAACCCAUAGAGAGCAUACAGCAAGGAGCAGGUUACAAACCACUCGGCGAAGGGC